GAGGUUCGACUCGAGCGUAGCGAGAGAACGUUGCGUCAGCAACGGCCCGUAGGGCGAGCCACGAAGUGGCGAGUCAUCCUCUAUCACCGACCA
rnacentral:sRNA from 1 species